rnacentral:rRNA from 1 species
UACGUAGGUGGCAAGCGUUGUCCGGAUUUAUUGGGUUUAAAGGGUGCGUAGGCGGUCUUAUAAGUCAGUGCUGAAAUAUCCCGGCUUAACCGGGAGGGUGGCAUUGAUACUGUAGGACUUGAGUAAAGUUGAGGUUGGCGGAAUUGACGGUGUAGCGGUGAAAUGCUUAGAUAUCGUCAAGAACACCUAUUGCGAAGGCAGCUAACUAAGCUUUAACUGACGCUGAGGCACGAAAGUGUGGGGAGCGAACAGG